UACGAAGGGGGCUAGCGUUGCUCGGAAUCACUGGGCGUAAAGCGCACGUAGGCGGAUCUUUAAGUCAGGGGUGAAAUCCCAAGGCUCAACCUUGGAACUGCCUUUGAUACUGGGGGAUCUCGAGUCCGGAAGAGGUGAGUGGAACUGCGAGUGUAGAGGUGAAAUUCGUAGAUAUUCGCAAGAACACCAGUGGCGAAGGCGGCUCACUGGUCCGGUACUGACGCUGAGGUGCGAAAAGCGUGGGGAGCAAACAGG
rnacentral:rRNA from 1 species